UUGGCAUACUGACACCAAACUUUGUGUGUGCCAUUCUCACCUCACACAGAAAACACCAAAAUGAUUUGAUUACAGCGCCACCUGUUGGACAAAAGUGAUAAACCAUUUAAUCAUAAUACUAGUGCUUGUAUAUAUGAUUUUUCCGCCAUUUCAAUUACAAUCAUCCUAAAAUGGCUUCAGUUACUUUCUGCAUUUGGUCUGAUGGUCCAUGCCAUGCUUAGCUCCUCAAUUUGCCGCUGGAGUGCUUGGCCCCGUAAUUGCUGCUUGCAGCUAUAUUUAGGGGCCAAGCACCGAAGGUGCGUAGGCACCUAUUGAAAUCGUUGGCGUUAUUAUUAGGGGCCAAGCACCGAAGGUGCUUAGGCACCUAUUGUAUCCGUUAGGAUUCUUAUUAUUAUUAUUAUUAUUAUUAUUAUUAUUAUUAUUAUUAUUAUUAUUCUUCCGCUUCCGCCGCAAGUCUAUGGCAGCCCAUAGAACUGACUGCGGGAAAGUUGUGAAAUUUGGCACACUCAUAGAGGACAGUGUCAACAUUAACCAUCGCAAAUUUAAAGUCUCUAACUCCAGCUCUC
ensembl:lncRNA